rnacentral:rRNA from 1 species
GACGAACGCUGGCGGCGUGCUUAACACAUGCAAGUCGUACGGUAAGGCCCUUUCGGGGGUCCACGAGUGGCGAACGGGUGAGUAACACGUGAGUAACCUGCCCACAACUUUGGGAUAACGCUAGGAAACUGGUGCUAAUACUGGAUAUGUGCUCCUGCUGCAUGGUGGGGGUUGGAAAGCUCCGGCGGUUGUGGAUGGACUCGCGGCCUAUCAGCUUGUUGGUGGGGUAGUGGCCUACCAAGGCGGCGACGGGUAGCCGGCCUGAGAGGGUGACCGGCCACAUUGGGACUGAGAUACGGCCCAGACUCCUACGGGAGGCAGCAGUGGGGAAUAUUGCACAAUGGGCGCAAGCCUGAUGCAGCAACGCCGCGUGCGGGAGGACGGACUUCGGGUUGUAAACCGCUUUCAGCAGGGACGAAGCUUUUUGUGACGGUACCUGCAGAAGAAGCACCGGCUAACUACGUG